GUUAUUAAUAGCUUUGAUAUUUCAUGGUUUAGUUGGUUUAUGUUAUUCGAAUUCAUGUGGUUUUGGAUGAACUAUAGAACUUGUGGAUUUUGUGAAAAGGAAAAAUGGUUUUCUACCCCUCGUAGUAGCGUUUUAAAAAGAAAAGGUUUUCGUGUGGGAAACAGUUUUCAAAAGAGUUUUUCUUGUGGUUUUUAUGUUUAAACACUGAAUGGUAAAUAUCUGGUGAAUGGUGAAUGAAUGUUGAGAAUUGUCUAUUCAUAUAUUGUGAUUGUAUCCUGGUUAUACUCUGUUUGGACAUCUUGUACUUGCGUG
rnacentral:lncRNA from 1 species